CUUGGCACUAGUGGAAUUCUUUG
rnacentral:miRNA from 3 species